GGGUCAGUAGGUCGGUCGUGCCACCGGUACGUACUGGUCUCACUGAUUCCUCCUUCCUGAAGAACCGUAAUGCCAUUAAUUUGGUGUUGCGGGGAAACAGGACUGUUACUUUGAAAAAAUUAGAGUGUUUAAAGCAAGCUAACGCUUGAAUACAUUAGCAUGGAAUAAUGAAAUAGGACGAUCGAUCCUGUUUUGUUGGUUUCUAGGAUUGACGUA
rnacentral:rRNA from 1 species